ensembl:lncRNA
AUGGCUUGGUUCAGGGGCCACAGUAUCCAUGUCUAUAACCUGGAGUUUAUUAAGCUACUGAAGAGCAAGAAUGUGCACAUCAUGUGCUACCCUGCCCACACAACCCAUGCGCUGCAACCGGCGGACAAGGCCCACUUCAAGAGUCUAAAACACCACUGGGACCAGGAAGGGAGGAAGUGGACGAGGAUGAUGGCUGGGCAGAAGGUGUCAAGGAUGGAGUUCUUUGCGUUGUUCAGCAGGGCUUGGGCAAAGGCUGCCACUAUUGAAAAUGCCCAGGCAGGGUUCCGGGGGACAGGGAUGUUCCCUCUCAAUAAAGAUAUUCUCCCUGAGACUGCUUUUGCCCCCAGUAAGACCACCGAAAGUGUGCUACCAUCCAUUCUACCAACCCCACCCACAAGGCCGCAGUCUCUCCCAACCCCACCCAGUCUCUCCCACCCCCACCCAGUGUCUCUUACCCCCGCCCACAAGACCAGAGUCUCUCCCACCCCUGCCACUGGACCAUGGUCACCCCUGCUGACCUUGACCCACCCUGCCCGCCAGCCAUCAGCCCUGCUCUCUGGACAUCAGCCCUCCCACCCGCCAGCCAGACCUCAGUCACCUGCCGAUCCGCCAGCUAGACCUCAGUCCUCUGCUUCCCUGACACCCCUGCUACCUGUGGAACCACUGUACUUUUUCCCAGAAGAUGAGAAGGUGGUGUUUCAAGAGGUUGUGUUGGAGGAUGUACCGGAAGAAGAUAAUGACCUCUUCAAUCAGUUCACACCACAGAAAGAAACCCACUCCCAGGAUGAGGGACCUUCCACCUCCACAUCUGUGAGAUUGGUCACAUUCACUGACUUGAUCUCAGUGCCGCAAAGGGAGAGGGCCAUCAGAAAGAGAGUGAAGCCACCAUCAUAUAACCUCACAAGUGAGCAACGCAUUGAACAUAUUAAAACAAAAAAGUAAUCCGGCAAGCAACCAGCCAAGCAAGCCAGCAAGUACCCGGCCAGCAAGCAACCAAAAGGGGAAAAAAAGCAGGGCAAAAGAAGCAAAUCACCUUGCAAAGCCUGCAACACCCACUAUGGUGACCCAAAUGACCCUAAGGCUACUGAGGAAUGGGUAAAAUGUGAUCCAUGUUCUGCCUGGUUUCAUGAGAGCUGUGGUGAAGAGAAUGGUAUCUGUGAUGACGAUGGUUUCAUUUGCAAAGACUGUGUUUGAAAAAUGUUUUCAUCACACACACAAAUCAGUUAUCAAUUUUGAAUGUGAAUUUUUGUAAUUUGCACAUUUCCUUCUAAAUGUAUUGUUCACACACACACACCACUGACAUCAGUUCACUGAUCUAUGUUGUUCCAAAAUGGGCUUUUUUAUACUUUUUUAAUUGCACAUUUGAAUAUGUGGGUUUACACCCAAAAUGUAUUAUUUUUUUUUUAAUGGUACAUAUGAAUAUGUUUGUUUAAUGCAGUUUAAAUGUUAUGUGGCUGUAUAAGCAGUUCUGUUUUAAAAUUAAAAUUGAUGAUAAAUUACUAUUUCCCUUUGCAGUUUGACUGGCCCAUCUGAUGUUUCAAGAACUGUAGGGCCUAAAUAAUUAUAUUUUAUUACAUAAUUUCAACACAAAAUUAUCAAAAACAGUCAUUAUUAAUCAUACAUACACGUGGAAUAGACAUAUAUGGUAUUAUUGUCCCAAACGAUUUACCAAAAAGUGGCCCAAUUUAGCUGAUAUCACCCCUAAGUUAAUUAAGAGACUUACGGUUUAGACACCAUAUUGCCUAUUUUUGCAUUAUUUCGACAACAAAAUUAAAUCAAAUCAAAGCCACAGCGCUGCUUUGCCUCUCUGA